CUGGGACCUGUUACUUGUAGAAGUCAGCAGAGCAGGACAGAAACUUGGAGAGAAUGUGGUGGAAGCUUUCAACAUUCUCAAAGCAGGUGAAGAAACACCCUGGAUUGGUGCCUUUGCUUGGUUUCACAAUGUUGGGCAUCACUAAUGGAACCAUCUACCUGAUGAAGUCUGCCCUUUCCAACCCAAAAUUAAGUUGGGUAAAGAAAGAAGAACCGGAGCCUUGGUAUAAAUGAGGUCCAGACCUCUAGAGGAGAGGUGAAGACCUACAGAUGCUCUUAUAAUGAAAACAGGAUCUUUAACAUUUCUCCUGAAGAAGAUGCUGAGCCACUGAUUGACCACUGCGAAAAAUUGUAUUAUUCCUUUUCCUUCUACAUGAAAUCACAGCUAUCUCUUUUUACUCUGGGGGAAUGAACAUCUUGUUUGACCAGUCCAACAAUAAUAUCUUUAAAGUAACACUAAACCUCUAUAAACACUUACAAAAAAUAUUUAAAUACAUGUAUAAAAACCUCCCACUUAGAUGUGCCUCCAAGUCUAUCAGCUGCACAAGCAAGCAGUUUUGCUGAAAUCUUGGAGCACAGAGGAACCCUGUUCUCCCUGUCUCCUCCAUCUUCAGCAGGAGACUGGAAGUUCAGGGGAGAUGGACGGAGCUUAGCCCCCAUUGAGUAUAAUUGAGUCCAUAGUCUGUAUAGUGCUGAUGAAUCUGGGACCAGAGAAACUCCAAGGUAACAAUUACAACAUAGAUAGUAAGGCAAAUAAAAAUAUAUAAUGGGUUCACCCAAGUAAAAAUAAUAGCCCCACCUGUGCAUAUUCCGCUUUAUACACCCAAUUAAAUAAAACUGAAUAUCUAAAAAUAUUUAAAAAGACCAAGGCUGUACAGUGGUAAGGUAAAAGCAAUUUAAUCCAUAUAAAAUUAAAAAGUAUAAAAAUACAAAACAGUAACAAGAAUAAAAAUAUAAAAUCAAUUCAAUCUUAGUCCCAAAUGAAACAUGUAGCGGGUCCCUCGCUAUAGUAACUGAUAUUGUGUGGAUGAAUUAACUGUCCAUACAAAUGUCCACAAUACCAGGCUGGUAUCAAUGCUAGUAUUGGAUCCUUGGAUCAAUGUUGUGAUGAGAUAUAUUUAAUAUUCAGCCAAACCCAAGUUUGUAGAACUCGUGGCAAUUAACAUGAACAUUAAUGAGAAGUUAAAGAGUUAGGUGAGGAUUGUAUGUUUGUUGUUUGCAUUUACCUUCAGUAAAAUUGCUACUCUUAUUAUUACCCUAACUUUGUGUAAACUACACAGCUUUUACUGAGACCCGAAUAGGCAAAUACGACUAGCUACGGCACAAUUUGGCAGCUAGAAGGGGUAUUUAUUUAGGUACAUUUAGUAUUACCGCUCCACAUGCUAUGUUACCCAGAUUUCCGCUAGAUGGCAGGCAAUUGAUUGAAAUGACCAUCCUGCUUCUCCCACUCCAAUAAAAUACCUCCUCUUAAAGUCUGUCAACUGGACAAAAUGUCUUUGUGUGCGUCAUAUUGGCAUGUCUAGCAGUCAAUGAUGUCUCACCAAGAGGUCCACUACCCAAAAGUAGUUUUUAUUACUCAUUACUUUUUGUUACUCAUUAUCCACUACUGACUAAUUCUCUAUACCAGUGAUGGCAAACCUUUUAGAGACCGAGUGCCCAAACUGCACCCCAAAACCCACAUAUUUAUCACAAAGUGCCAACAUGGGAAUUUCCCCUGAAUACUACAGUCCAGUAUAGUA